UUCAACAGUAUCUGGAUGAUACUGUCAUGAUAUCUGCAUACAUGCCAGAGUUCUGAGACUACAGAAAAUUAGACAUUGGUGCAUUGCAUUGUGUCUUCCAGCCGCUACUUUCAGAUGCGGCAAAACCUUUACGGCAAACAGGUGUGGGGCAGCCUCAAGUGGAAAGCCGCAACAAUUCCACACACAGUCCAGCAGGACUCAACAAGCUGCGGGGUAUUUGUAAUGCAGAUGGCUAAAGAGGCAAUCCAGUCUUUUCCGGCGAUUCCUUCAUUCAAUAUGAAGAACUCGCCAAGGGCUAUAGGUUGUCUCCGGGCAGAGAUGGCAGAGGAGCUACUGUCCGCAUCAGAGAAAGACUACUGUUCAAUAUGUGGCCUGCAUGAUGUUCCAAGAGACACAGACAUUGAGGCAGUAGUAAUUGACUGGACCCAGUGUGACUCAUGUGGAAGGUGGUUCCAUGACAUGUGCCUAACAGCAGCCCAGAUGGAACAUGUUCCACAAGAACUGGCACAAUGGCAAUGUACCCUGUGCGAUAACCAAUAG
rnacentral:lncRNA from 1 species